rnacentral:rRNA from 1 species
UACGUAGGGUGCAAGCGUUAUUCGGAAUUACUGGGCGUAAAGCGUGCGCAGGCGGUUUUGUAAGUCAGGGGUGAAAUCCCCGGGCUUAACCUGGGAACUGCAUUUGUGACUGCAUAGCUAGAGUACGGUAGAGGGGGAUGGAAUUCCGCGUGUAGCAGUGAAAUGCGUAGAUAUGCGGAGGAACACCGAUGGCGAAGGCAAUCCCCUGGACCUGUACUGACGCUGAGACGCGAAAGCGUGGGGAGCGAACAGG